rnacentral:rRNA from 1 species
GAUUAGUGGCGAACGGGUGAGUAACACGUGGGCAAUCUGCCCUGCACUCUGGGACAAGCCCUGGAAACGGGGUCUAAUACCGGAUACUGACCACUGGGGGCAUCUUCAGUGGUCGAAAGCUCCGGCGGUGCAGGAUGAGCCCGCGGCCUAUCAGCUUGUUGGUGAGGUAGUGGCUCACCAAGGCGACGACGGGUAGCCGGCCUGAGAGGGCGACCGGCCACACUGGGACUGAGACACGGCCCAGACUCCUACGGGAGGCAGCAGUGGGGAAUAUUGCACAAUGGGCGAAAGCCUGAUGCAGCGACGCCGCGUGAGGGAUGACGGCCUUCGGGUUGUAAACCUCUUUCAGCAGGGAAGAAGCGAAAGUGACGGUACCUGCAGAAGAAGCGCCGGCUAACUACGUGCCAGCAGCCGCGGUAAUACGUAGGGCGCGAGCGUUGUCCGGAAUUAUUGGGCGUAAAGAGCUCGUAGGCGGCUUGUCACGUCGGUUGUGAAAGCCCGGGGCUUAACCCCGGGUCUGCAGUCGAUACGGGCAGGCUAGAGUUCGGUAGGGGAGAUCGGAAUUCCUGGUGUAGCGGUGAAAUGCGCAGAUAUCAGGAGGAACACCGGUGGCGAAGGCGGAUCUCUGGGCCGAUACUGACGCUGAGGAGCGAAAGCGUGGGGAGCGAACAGGAUUAGAUACCCUGGUAGUCCACGCCGUAAACGGUGGGCACUAGGUGUGGGCAACAUUCCACGUUGUCCGUGCCGCAGCUNACGCAUUAAGUGCCCCGCCUGGGGAGUACGGCCGCAAGGCUNAAACUCAAAGGAAUUGACGGGGGCCCGCACAAGCGGCGGAGCAUGUGGCUUAAUUCGACGCAACGCGAAGAACCUUACCAAGGCUUGACAUACACCGGAAA